rnacentral:rRNA from 1 species
UACGUAGGGGGCAAGCGUUGUCCGGAAUCACUGGGCUUAAAGGGCGCGUAGGCGGGCCGACAAGUCUGGGGUGAAAUGCCGCGGCUCAACCGUGGAACUGCCUCAGAUACUGUCGGCCUCGAGGGAGGUAGGGGCGUGCGGAACUGUAGGUGGAGCGGUGAAAUGCGUUGAUAUCUACAGGAACUCCGGUGGCGAAAGCGGCGCGCUGGACCUCUUCUGACGCUGAGGCGCGAAAGCUAGGGGAGCAAACGGG